rnacentral:lncRNA from 1 species
ACGAAAAUAAAAUAAGAAGAAAUAAAUUUAACUUUUCAUUUUUUUUAAUACAUUUUUUCCCUAUAUAAUUUCAUCGAAAAAUCUAUGAUAUGUGGAAUUUGUAUGCGAAAAAUUUUGAAAAUAGAAACACACUUGCUAUGUUGUUUUUGUUGCCAAAAAAUAUACAUUAAGAAAUUACAGAAAGAAAAAGAAAUCAAACGAAGUGUUCCAUAAGCUCCUAAUCUAAUCGAAUGAACAAAGAGCUUGCCCAAAAUCCUAAUUUAAAACCCCCAAAAAAACCCAACAAAAAAUUGUACACUUUCAAUUCUUAUAGACAGAGAUUGAGGAUAGAGAGAGAGAGAGAGCGCAACUUUCCCAAAUUAUCUCCGUCAAUCUCUCUCCCAAAAUGACAACAAAGAUCCAAUCAAACAAAAUUCCAAAUCUAAGGCGGCCCAAAUCUUCUCGGCUCCUCCAACCAGC